rnacentral:sRNA from 1 species
UCCUAUUCUGGUACUAGAUUGUUCGUUGC